CAAACAUGGACUUUGGAAGCUGAUUAUUCCGGCCUUGAUUCCCUCUGAUAAACCCUGUUUACUUAGAGUCACUUUUUUUCCAAAACUUCAUUCUGACUGUGUCCACCGUUUAAAGCAUUUAUCCACAUUGACCUUUACUAAUGGCUAUGAGAUCUUUAAUUAACGGAAAACAGUAAUUGGACGCAGCUGCUAAUUGUUUAGAGAAUGCCCUUGGGUGUGCAAUCACUUACUGAAAGUGCUCGGUUUUCAUGGCGAUGUGUUAGCGAACAGCUUGCGUCCACAACUGUUUGGAUACUCACACACAAACAGGAAUUCGGAAUUAUAGCAAAAUCUAUUCAAACACAGGUAAUCCUACUCGGCUUUAGUCAACCUUCGUUUUGCCAUUUUGAAUAACUUUGGAAAAACAUCCUGCAUUUUGGCUUCGCUAGGGAAUAAAUCUCAGCGCAUUAAGCCAGGGGAAUUCGGUUGUAGACUUGCGCGUUCUGUUACCGAUGAAGGACGAUUCGUCUAAAUUCCGGAUCUCAAUAAACACUGUGCGGAUAAAUCAUUAAACAAAUCGAACAGACAAUGGGCGAACAGUUUAGUUUGAUUCGUGAUUCUGAGUUCUGUCUGCAGCGCAAAAAAACCCCAAUGAUUGAUGGAAAACCCUGUUUGAUGGUUAGCGGACUGUCACUAAAUGUUGUUCUUAUUCACAGAGCAAGUGAGAAGUAACCAACAGGGGGGGGAACAGGAGGAGCAGUAACAAUGAUAUAUAUAGACAGACAAUACCGGAAAACACAGCCAACAGCGAGACAUUUCGUAUUCAGUUAUUGGAGCCUAAAAAUUGAAAUUACUUUGAAUUUCCAGCAAGUUACCCUUUAGAAAAUAAGCCGGAUGGUUCAAAUGACUCUAAUCCCCACGAUUUCUCCAUUUUGGUAUAAUGGAACUUUUCAGAUAUUUCGUGUCUGAUUUUAAAGAGACACUCCACACCCUUAAUGCACUUUAACUUUCUGAAAUGCUUUAUAUGUAAAGAGUGUGUCUGCUUUUUCUUG